rnacentral:rRNA from 1 species
AGAGUUUGAUCCUGGCUCAGAACGAACGCUGUCCGGCAGGCUUAACACAUGCAAGUCGAGCGCAUCCUUCGGGAUGAGCGGCGGACGGGUUAGUAACGCGUGGGAACGUGCCCUUCUCUACGGAAUAGCCCAGGGAAACUUGGAUUAAUACCGUAUACGCCCUUUGGGGGAAAGAUUUAUCGGAGAAGGAUCGGCCCGCGUCUGAUUAGGUAGUUGGUGGGGUAAUGGCCUACCAAGCCGACGAUCAGUAGCUGGUUUGAGAGGAUGAUCAGCAACACUGGGACUGAGACACGGCCCAGACUCCUACGGGAGGCAGCAGUGGGGAAUCUUGGACAAUGGGCGCAAGCCUGAUCCAGCCAUGCCGCGUGAGCGAUGAAGGCCUUAGGGUUGUAAAGCUCUUUCGCCAGGGAUGAUAAUGACAGUACCUGGUAAAGAAACCCCGGCUAACUCCGUGCCAGCAGCCGCGGUAAUACGGAGGGGGUUAGCGUUGUUCGGAAUCUGGGCGUAAAGCGCACGUAGGCGGAUAUGUCAGUCAGGGGUGAAAUCCCGGGGCUCAACCCCGGAACUGCCUUUGAUACUGCAUGUCUAGAGGUCGAGAGAGGUGAGUGGAAUUCCGAGUGUAGAGGUGAAAUUCGUA